CGUCAGUACCAUCUUCUAAAGAAAAGUCGCUUUUUACAUAACUUGGUGGAGUAGGAACUGUGAGACACAACAAAUCGCUCGAAGGAUUAGGCUGAGUAAUGACUGUUAGUUCCUCACGAGCUAUAACGUUAGAAGGAGAAGAAAUGAGGACUGGCAUUGGAACAAGAAUAUGACGAUCCGUUAAUUCUCUCAAUCCCAAGAGGUUACGUUCGGAGGAUAAUGAACCAAAAUGGA